rnacentral:rRNA from 1 species
UACGUAGGCAGCGAGCGUUGUUCGGAGUUACUGGGCGUAAAGAGUGCGUAGGCGGUUUUCUAAGUUUGGUGUGAAAUCUCCCGGCUUAACUGGGAGGGUGCGCCGAAGACUGGAAGGCUUGAGUAUGGGAGAGGUAAGCGGAAUUCCUGGUGUAGCGGUGAAAUGCGCAGAUAUCAGGAGGAACACCGGUGGCGAAGGCGGGUCUCUGGGCCGUAACUGACGCUGAGGAGCGAAAGCGUGGGGAGCGAACAGG